rnacentral:rRNA from 1 species
UUCGAUUACUCCUACGGGAGGCAGCAGUGGGGAAUAUUGCGCAAUGGGGGAAACCCUGACGCAGCGACGCCGCGUGAGCGAAGAAGGCCUUAGGGUCGUAAAGCUCUGUUGUAAGGGACGAAUGUUUGUCUGGCGAACAGUCAGAUAAAGUGACGGUACCUUACCAGCAAGCCCCGGCUAACUACGUGCCAGCGGCCGCGGUAAGACGUAGGGGGCGAGCGUUGUCCGGAAUUACUGGGCGUAAAGAGCACGUAGGCGGAUAAUUAAGUCAGAUGUGAAAGACCGGGGCCCAACCUCGGGGUUGCAUCUGAAACUGGAUAUCUUGAGGGCAGGAGAGGAAAGUGGAAUUCCUGGUGUAGCGGUGAAAUGCGUAGAAAUCAGGAGGAAUACCAGUGGCGAAGGCGACUUUCUGGACUGACCCUGACGCUGAGGUGCGAAAGCGUGGGUAGCAAACAGGAUUAGAUACCCUGGUAGUCA